rnacentral:rRNA from 1 species
UCGAGCGAACAGACGAGGAGCUUGCUCCUCUGACGGUCACACCUGUUCCCAUGCCGAACACAGAAGUUAAGCUCCUUAGCGCCGAUGGUAGUCGGACUGACGUUCCGCUAGAGUAGGACGUUGCCAGGC